rnacentral:rRNA from 1 species
UACGGGGGGGGGCAAGCGUUGUUCGGAAUUACUGGGCGUAAAGGGCGCGUAGGCGGCCUUCUAAGUCAGCCGUGAAAUCCCUCGGCUCAACCGGGGAACUGCGUCUGAUACUGGGAGGCUUGAAUCCGGGAGAGGAAUGCGGAAUUCCAGGUGUAGCGGUGAAAUGCGUAGAUAUCUGGAGGAACACCGGUGGCGAAGGCGGCAUUCUGGACCGGCAUUGACGCUGAGGCGCGAAAGCCAGGGGAGCAAACGGG